UACGGAGGGGGCUAGCGUUGUUCGGAAUUACUGGGCGUAAAGCGCGCGUAGGCGGAUCUGCAAGUCGGGGGUGAAAUCCCGAGGCUCAACCUCGGAACUGCCUUUGAUACUGGCGAUCUUAGAGUCCGGGAGAGGUGAGUGGAACUCCGAGUGUAGAGGUGAAAUUCGUAGAUAUUCGGAAGAACACCAGUGGCGAAGGCGGCUCACUGGCCCGGUACUGACGCUCAGGUGCGAAAGCGUGGGGAGCAAACAGG
rnacentral:rRNA from 1 species